rnacentral:tRNA from 1 species
GGGCCCGUAGCUCAGCCAGGUUGGAGCGCCCUGGGGCGAUAGCCCCGCGUACGGCUGAUAACCGGGAGGUCCCGGGUUCAAAUCCCGGCGGGCCCA